CCUACGGGAGGCAGCAGUAGGGAAUCUUCCACAAUGGGCGAAAGCCUGAUGAAGCAACGCCGCGUGGGUGAAGAAGGUCUUCGGAUCGUAAAACCCUGUUGUUAGAGAAGAAAGUGCGUGAGAGUAACUGUUCACGUUUCGACGGUAUCUAACCAGAAAGCCACGGCUAACUACGUGCCAGCAGCCGCGGUAAUACGUAGGUGGCAAGCGUUAUCCGGAUUUAUUGGGCGUAAAGGGAACGCAGGCGGUCUUUUAAGUCUGAUGUGAAAGCCUUCGGCUUAACCGGAGUAGUGCAUUGGAAACUGGGAGACGUGAGUGCAGAAGAGGAGAGUGGAACUCCAUGUGUAGCGGUGAAAUGCGUAGAUAUAUGGAAGAACACCAGUGGCGAAAGCGGCUCUCUGGUCUGUAACUGACGCUGAGGUUCGAAAGCGUGGGUAGCAAACAGGAUUAGAUACCCUUGUAGUC
rnacentral:rRNA from 1 species